rfam:Myotis lucifugus cont2.47448, whole genome shotgun sequence.
GCUCAUGUGGCUCAGUGGACAGAGCAUUGGCCAGUGUACCGAAGCGUCCUGGGUUCGAUUCCAGUCAAGGGCA